rnacentral:rRNA from 1 species
ACAUGCAUACAACAUAGCAUUAAUGCAUCGGAUCCCAUUGGAACUUUGCAGUUAAGCACACUCAAACUAGAGUAGUAUUGGGAUGGGUGAUCGCCCGGGAAGUCCUAGUGUUUUAAAUGCC